GUAAUAGAAGCUCCUGUUUUCAGCUGGUACAUGUCUGGACACACGUCUGGGCACGUGUCUGCCUGGAAUAAAGACCAUAUUUCCCAGCCUCCUUUGCAGCUAAGUAAGAUCAUCGGGGAGUUUCCGCUUUCGUGUUCUCCACUCAAGCAAUUAGCCCGGCGCCGCGGGAAUAAUCCAAGAUGAGAGUCCCAUCUCAAGAAUCCAUGUGGAAUCCAACACUGGGAGACAAUGCUGCGAGCGAAGGAAGGAAGACAAAAAGCUAAAGGAGCAGCCCUGCCCGUCGUUCCAAUUCUCCAGAAGUUCCUGAGAACGUAUGAGAAGCACUGUGCACAGACUCGGACGUCCGUGUGCCUGGCCGUCAAGAGGGACCUGAAAGCUGGCAUUGACAAUGGACAGAUUCUCAGGAAGUUUAUACUUGUAAGACCUGAUGACUCCCCGCCAAGCAUCCCACCGAUUUCCUUGGAACCUUUGCUUAUGACAAUUCGAGAAGAGUGUUACACGCUGGGGAAAGAGAUCUGCAUCUGGGGCCUUCAACUGAGCAACCCAGAGAUUGCCAGACUCGCUUCGCUUCUGGAGUUGAAGGGGCGCAGCACCUGCCCAUUUACCACCCUAGAGCUCAUUGAUUGCAAGAUGGAUCCGUGGUCUCUCGGGAGACUUGGGGAGGCUCUGCAGUUCAGCAGUUUGCACUCUCUUGUCCUGGAUUACUGCAACUUUGGAAUUGAAGAAAUUGAGCGUAUUUUCUUGGGCCUGGAGAACAACCAAAGGCUCCAAGGCCUCAGCCUGCGUUACUGUGGUCUGGGGCCACGGAGCGGGCCAGCGCUGGGCUCAGUCGUAAGCCAGAGUGCUGUCCGUGAGCUGCACCUCGACGGCAAUUACUUGCAAUGUUCUGGAGCUCUGGCUCUGCUCAGACCCCUAGCAGAGUAUGCAGAGAUGCAGGGCAAAGGCUGGCCCACCAUAUCCUCACCAGACGCCAGGAAUCCCCCUCAGCUUCUCGGAGUCAGCCACAGAGCAAGUUCAACUUUGAACCCGAUUACAAAGUCAUCUGGAGCUGUAACAGUGAAAACUACUUCAGGGAAGAAUAAGAGAAAGAAAGGAAUCAAGAAAAAAGUUAAAGGUUUGACUGAAGCUGGUCCUUGGUUAGUGAAAUUGCAUUUGGCAGAUAAUGGCAUAGAUGGAAAAGGAAACGAAGGAGAAAAAGGCUUGUUGGAAUUCACUCAGAUUUUAACAUGGGAAAUUGACCUUGGAAACAAUGGCCUGGGAGAAAGGGCUGCUGCUGACAUACUUGAAGCACUGCGAGCCAGAAAGACAGGUAGAGUGUUUUGGUUUGUGUUCCCUUCUACUUGUCCACAUCCACUCUUUCCCAAAUGCUGUACUACCCCAAACUUGCUCCAUGUUUUUCAUUAAACUACUGGCCCGAGCUAUGUGAUGACCAGGAACACUGUCACAGGCCAGCCAUCUUUGUGUCAAAUUGCCCAGUGAUUUGCAGAAUUCAAGAACUUUU
rnacentral:lncRNA from 1 species